UGUAAAAAUCUGCAGAUACGCAGUGACAAUUUCAACUCUACAGCAGUGAUAAAUACCCGCCACUCUGCUGUACUGAAGUUUGGCACGUACAUUGGUGGAGGAAGAUUGCAAAGGAGUAGGUCACUGAUAUUGCUAGAGGCAAAAUGCUGUUGCGUGUUCAGCUCGGGGAAGAGCAGAAAUACGUCAAGCUGUCUGAGCUGACAUUCAAUGCUUUCUUGAAAGAAGUGUGUCUAAAAUUCAACAUACCGGAAAGCAGACAGCCAGACAUUAAGGUGUAUGACCAGUCUGACACAGAAGUUGACUCAGAUGUUUUUGAAGAAAUAGUGAAGGAGUCACCUGGAACUUUCAGAAUCAUGCUGGGCAAUGGACUUGGUAUUCAUUCAGACAAUUCACAAAUUAGUUUGUUUAGUUUAAAGAAUGAGAACAUUUAUUGUCUUAAAAAUAACAGUUUCUUGUAAUAUGUUUCUAUGUUUUGCACAAAUUUCAUAAUGAACAGAUACUUCUCAAUCAUCAUCAUGCUCGGGUACAUCUGAUGACACUGUCAUUCUGAAUUUCA